rnacentral:rRNA from 1 species
UACGUAGGGUGCGAGCGUUGUCCGGAAUUACUGGGCGUAAAGAGCUCGUAGGUGGUUUGUCGCGUUGUUCGUGAAAACUCACAGCUCAACUGUGGGCGUGCGGGCGAUACGGGCAGACUAGAGUACUGCAGGGGAGACUGGAAUUCCUGGUGUAGCGGUGGAAUGCGCAGAUAUCAGGAGGAACACCGGUGGCGAAGGCGGGUCUCUGGGCCGUAACUGACGCUGAGGAGCGAAAGCGUGGGGAGCGAACAGG